UACGAAGGGGGGCUAGCGUUGCUCGGAAUCACUGGGCGUAAAGCGCACGUAGGCGGCUUUCUAAGUCAGGGGGUGAAAUCCUGGAGCUCAACUCCAGAACUGCCUUUGAUACUGGAGAGCUUGAGUCCGGAAGAGGUGAGUGGAACUCCGAGUGUAGAGGUGAAAUUCGUAGAUAUUCGGAAGAACACCAGUGGCGAAGGCGGCUCACUGGUCCGGUACUGACGCUGAGGUGCGAAAGCGUGGGGAGCAAACAGG
rnacentral:rRNA from 1 species